AUGCUUAAAGUGAGUGAGUUUGACUCUAUACCUUGGAACUUCCUUAUGGAUCUGCUGAAACACCUCCGCUUUUCGGACAGAUUUCGUGACUGGGUUUCAGCUUUGCUCUCUACCGCCACUUCAAGGGUGUUGAUCAAUGGAGUUUUGGGUGAUUCGCUGAAGCAUGGAUGUGGCCUUCGCCAGGGGCCCCGAUUUCCCCUCUUCUCUUCGUCCUGGCUAUCGAUCCGCUCCACCACCUCCUCUGCAAGGCCACGGCCCAAGGGCACCUGCACCCUCUGUGUGGUAGAUCUUCACCCGUUCGGGCCUCACUCUAUGCCGACGAUGCCGUCAUCUUUGUGA
rnacentral:rRNA from 1 species